rnacentral:rRNA from 1 species
UACGAUACGAGUUUGAUCAUGGCUCAGAACGAACGCUGGCGGCAUGCCUAACACAUGCAAGUCGAACGAAGGCUUCGGCCUUAGUGGCGCACGGGUGCGUAACGCGUGGGAAUCUGCCCCUCGGUUCGGAAUAACAGUUAGAAAUGACUGCUAAUACCGGAUGAUGACGUAAGUCCAAAGAUUUAUCGCCGAGGGAUGAGCCCGCGUAGGAUUAGCUUGUUGGUGGGGUAAUGGCCCACCAAGGCGACGAUCCUUAGCUGGUCUGAGAGGAUGAUCAGCCACGACUGGGACUGAGACACGGCCCAGACUCCUACGGGAGGCAGCAGUGGGGAAUAUUGGACAAUGGGCGAAAGCCUGAUCCAGCAAUGCCGCGUGAGUGAUGAAGGCCUUAGGGUUGUAAAGCUCUUUUACCCGGGAUGAUAAUGACAGUACCGGGAGAAUAAGCUCCGGCUAACUCCGUG